AGCCAGUUGCUGACAGUUAAGAGCUGGCAGUUGCAAGGAAGUUGGUUGCUGGGAGUGUGGUGGGUUGGUGGUUGGCAUUUAGUUGCUGAAAUAUAAGAUUUAAGAAACAGCUAACUGCUGAAGUUUAUAGAAUAUUAAACUUGCAAUCUGAAAAGUCUGAUUUAAAAUCCUUCCUCAGGUUCGGGAAGAUGACAAACAGACAUGAAAUGAUAGAUCUAUUCUCACUGAAGAUAAUAGUGGAACUCAGCCAACUCCUUUAUCUGCCUCUGACAAGAACUCAUUUGCCAUUCUUCCAUUUAGAUGCAAUUGCUUCUGGUUUCAUUUAUGGAUUCAAAAUAAACUCCUGUAGGUAUAUAUCAGUUUUCCACUCUUUGAUAGAGUAAAACACCAAAAACCAUGACAGAUGAUAAAGAAAAAAGGAAAGAGAGUCUCUCCAAUUUCUCUAAUCAAUUUGCCUGCAAGACCAUCUGUCUCAGAUUCUCACUUCCAAAACUACUAGGAGUUCAAAUUUUUUAAAACAGGUGGCAAAGGGCAUGCUGAGCCGCCUCCACCUCACAGAAAAUGGGCCCUCAACUAGAGAAUAUAAGUAGAUUUCUUCAGAAGUUUAAAGUCAAAAGAUAAACAUAAGGGACAGCCCCAAUUCCAAAGAAAUAGUACUUGACCUCUAACAGAGAGGAGAUAAACUCAAGAUGAAGGAUGAGGCAUAAUUUUAGAACUGGCCAAUAAGAAGUUACCUUGAUUCUUUUGUAGACUUAAUACAAUUUUUUCCUUCUUUUCUUUCAGUAGAGUGGGGGCAGGGUAAGAUAGGAGAGAGGGAAAAAGUUAAUUAACAAGAAAAGUAAAAUAAGGAAGCUUAAGAAAAUUUCAUACAUAGAGACACACCAGAUUCAGAAAUCUCCAGUAACAAAUUUAUUAAAUCUACCAAGAGAAAAGAACUGCAACUCCUUCCAGACCUGGAUUCAGCAUUGAAUACCGCUAUCGACAUAGAUUGAUUUUUGCAGGCCCAACCAUGUCUUUCGUGUCAUUCAUAUACUAUGAAUCAGCCCAAGCUGAAUAACUAUCAUUCAUAAAACAAUCAUCUAUACGUGCAUCCAUAACUACUUCAGGAAAAUCACUUAGGAGAAUAUGAUGUUUAGAUUUCUAGGAGAAAGUUCCAUUUAUUCCCUUUUCUUCUGAUUCCUCAGGUGAUUUUUAGGGACCCAGAUUAAAGAAGAGGGUGUCAACGUGGAUUUUUUGGAUGUCUCAGUUUACCCUUACCUUUGAGAAAACCCCAGUGCCAAGUACCCCUAUUUUGGUUUGAAUGUUAAGUACCUUUUUGUUUUGGAGGCUUCUCUAUUGGAUAAAAGUUUUCCUCUCAUGAAGCCCAGAUUCUUAGUUUGACCUUUGAUUUGUUAUAGCGAAUGCUUCUUUUUUCUUUUUUUCAUAUGAAUUUUCUUUUAUUGAUUAAGAAAAUAUUUCCAUGGUUACAUGAUUCAUGUUCUCUCCCUCCCCUACUCACACACCCCUCCCAUAGGCAACUCACAACUCCACUGGGUUUUACAUGUCAUUGAUCAAGACCUAUUACCUAUUUCCAUAUUAUUGAUAUUUGCACAAGGGUGAUAGUUUAGAGUCCAUGUCCCCAAUCAUUUCCCCAUCGACCCAUGUGAUCAAGCAGUUGUUUUUCUUCUGGGUUUCCGCUCCCACAGUUCUUCCUCUGAAUGUGGAUAGUGUUUUUUCUCCUAGAUCACUCCAAGUUGUUCAGGAUCACUGCAUUGCCACUAAUGGAGAAGCCCAUUACAUUCCAUUGUACCAUAGUGUAUCUGUCUCUGUAUACAAUGUUCUCCUGGUUCUGCUCCUCUCACUCUGCAUCACUUCCUGGAGGAGCUGAAGCUCCUUCAUGCCCCAGUUGCUGACUGCAGAGAGGUUUAUGAACCUGUUUGUGAUAUCUAAUUGUCCAGAGGAUAGAAGGACUCCCAAUUUCCUUUCCUUUUUGGACAAAGCCUCUAGUGUGGUGGUUUCUCCCAGGGGUGUGGCUCCCAGAGCCUCAGUAUUUGCGUUUAUAUGGGAUUUGAUGUUUGACCCUGUGUGGUGACUAAAUAUUUGCACUUUAUCCCUAGUCCUGACUAAAGAGGGGGUUUCUAGCUACUUGGUAGUUCGGUGUUAUUUCCAAGAUAACAAGAUCUAAAAGAACAUUUGAAUAAUGAUUCAAAUAAGAAAUCUGAUGGAAAGAUCCCAGACGGCAUCAAAGAAAAAACAAUUCAAAGCUCUCCUUAAAUACUUCUGCAAACUAGCUGCUUCAAUAUAACAAGCUGGGAUGUGAAAUCAGAAAAGAAUGAAAAGAGCACACUGGGCAAGUGGCUAAGAGAAAAGAGCUGCCUAAGCAGCUCCCACUACAGUUCAGUUGGAGUGCUGAGAGAAAGGAACAGAAAGCAGCUCAGAGACCAUGAGAGUAGAAAGUGUGUAAACGAUGAUGCCAGCAAAUAGCUCAGCACAUCUGAAAGCAGAGGCCAGAUGUCAGAGAGAGGCAACGAGCAGAGGAUCCAAGGUAGGCAGAUAAAGCAUGUCAUCACCCAGGGACGUGACCAGAAAGCAUUGGUGCUCUUAUAUGGAAGCAAAGUAAUUGGCGGUAGAUAAUAGCUUUAAGGGGCUGUCACAAUAAUAGCCGUAGAAAUCCGUCUGGCCUGGCUAUGCAUUCAUAGCACACGCUUGGAAGUUACUUUCCCGGUUUCAUUCUCACUAGCAGACUAGGUUUCCGCAGCAUGACUACCAUAUAUCCCCUCAGGGUCAUGUCAAAGGGGCUUGGGUCCCUUCCAGGACCAAAGUUCACGGCCCCUCCCAGGGUGAUCUCCACCAAUGCUUAUCUGUUACCAAUUAGUCAGGCUUGACUAGCUUAUAAAGGAGUCUUUACAGCAAUAGGAUAGCCAAUACAAAAAUGUUUCUUCUUCCCCCCUUCAAACAAAUGUUUCAUCACGUCCCCACAGUGUAUAUAAAGCUGAAGGGAAAGCGGACCCGAGGCUGGGGCACGGGUUUUAUCUCCUAGUUCUUUUGCUGGAAAAUUAAAAGUGUUUCUCUUAGGUGUGAAGUAGUUCUUCUUGUGGGCUCUUUAUAGAGACUUGGGGGGGGGGG